UACGAAGGGGGGCUAGCGUUGCUCGGAAUCACUGGGCGUAAAGGGUGCGUAGGCGGGUCUUUAAGUCAGGGGGUGAAAUCCUGGAGCUCAACUCCAGAACUGCCUUUGAUACUGAAGAUCUUGAGUUCGGGAGAGGUGAGUGGAACUGCGAGUGUAGAGGUGAAAUUCGUAGAUAUUCGCAAGAACACCAGUGGCGAAGGCGGCUCACUGGCCCGAUACUGACGCUGAGGCACGAAAGCGUGGGGAGCAAACAGG
rnacentral:rRNA from 1 species